AUGGUUGGAAAUCAUUCAUAGAGUGUAAAGGUAUAAGGGAGCUUGACUGCGAGACCUACAAGUCGAGCAGGGUCGAAAGACGGACUUAGUGAUCCGGUGGUUCCGCAUGGAAGGGCCAUCGCUCAACGGAUAAAAGCUACCCCGGGGAUAACAGGCUUAUCUCCCCCAAGAGUUCACAUCGACGGGGAGGUUUGGCACCUCGAUGUCGGCUCAUCGCAUCCUGGGGCUGUAGUCGGUCCCAAGGGUUGGGCUGUUCGCCCAUUAAAGCGGUACGCUAGCUGGGUUCAGAACGUCGUGAGACAGUUCGGUCCCUAUCCGUCGUGGGCGUAGGAAAUUUGAGAGGAGCUGUCCUUAGUACGAGAGGGAACCGG
rnacentral:rRNA from 1 species